UACGUAGGGUGCAAGCGUUGUCCGGAAUUAUUGGGCGUAAAGAGCUCGUAGGCGGUUUGUCGCGUCUGCUGUGAAAUCCCGAGGCUCAACCUCGGGCCUGCAGUGGGUACGGGCAGACUAGAGUGCGGUAGGGGAGACUGGAAUUCCUGGUGUAGCGGUGAAAUGCGCAGAUAUCAGGAAGAACACCCGUGGCUAAGGCGGCUCUCUAGUACGGUACUGACGCUGAGACGCGAAAGCGUGGGGAGCGAACAGG
rnacentral:rRNA from 1 species